UACAGAGGAGCCAAGCGUUGUCCGGAUUGACUGGGCGUAAAGCGCACGCAGGCGGACGCGCGCGUGGGGUGUGAAAUCUGGCCGCUUAACGGCCAGGCGCCAUCCCAUACGGCGGGUCUGGAGUGAUGCAGAGGGCGGUGGAAUUGCCGGUGUAGUGGUGAAAUGCGUAGAGAUCGGCAGGAACACCCAGGGGGGAAACCAGCCGCCUGGGCAUCGACUGACGCUGAGGUGCGAGAGCGUGGGGAGCGAACCGG
rnacentral:rRNA from 1 species